rnacentral:rRNA from 1 species
GAUGAACGCUGGCGGCGUGCUUAAUACAUGCAAGUCGAGCGAAAGGAGGAGAACCUUGCCUCUCUGAUGUCAGAGGCGGACGUGAGAGAAACAAACGGACAACCUACCUAUAAGAAAGGGAUCACAUCGGUAAACAAGAGCUAAUACCGGAUAAUAUUUUGAACCGGAUAGUUUAAAAGUGUAAGACGGUAUUGCGGUCACUUAUAGAUUGAUCCGCGCUGCAUUAGAUAGUUGGUAAGGUAAAGGCUUACCAAGGCGACGAUGCGUAGCCGACCUGAGAGGGUGACCGGCCACACUGGAACUGAGACACGGCCCAGACUCCUACGGGAGGCAGCAGUGGGGAAUUUUCCACAAAGGGCGAAAGCCUGACGGAGCAACGCCGCGUGAGGGAUGAAGGUCUUCGGGUCGUAAACUGCUGUUAUAAGGGAAGAACAUAUGUGUUCGUAUAUGGGCACAUCUUGACGGUACCUAAUCAAAAAGCCACGGCUAACUACGUG